AACGCAAAUUGCGCUCUUCUGCUUGCAGGAGAGCAUGUCUGUUUGAGGGUCAUUUUCAACUGAUUUCUCUGUUCUCUCUCUCUUUUACGGGAGAGAAGACAGGGAAGACGAUGGGCUCUGUCUUCUCACCUUCGAGGAAACACUGCCUGAAUAGCAUUGGGAAAACAAAAUGGAUAGUGUCCGGGCCCCGACCCUUCUCACGGGAGCCAAACCAAAACGGACCAAUCCGCUCAAUAACUUAUGACCAUGACCUCAAAUCAGACAAGACUACCCGCUGAACUUAA
rnacentral:misc_RNA from 1 species